UUAGUCCCUUCUUUGUCAAGCCAGGACCCGCCCACGGUCUAUUCAUAGGGUCCCAAACCACUUUGGCCACAACACCCCCAGACUGGUCCGAAGCCUCGUGAGUUCGCCCUGGUCGUUGCACUCCAGCCUGUCGCUGUGCAGACCUGGCUUAGAGGACCCCUAAGGCUGAGGGGUCACUUCCAGAACUGAGUCCGGUCCGCAGGUUCUGCUACGCUCCAGCCAGCCCCUAACUGGUCCCCAGAAGCGGCGCUGCUACAGGGACCAGGAGCUGCUGCGAACUGCGCUGGCGGGGGCUCGUCCUUGGGCGCGGGGCUUCAUCAUGGACACGCUCUCGGCCCAGGCCGCGAAACAAGCCCGCGUGACUGGCGGAGGCACAGAGACCAAGGCCGCUUAACCUGGCUGGUUGCACUGGUCCCUGGAGAGGAUUCUGUGUCUCCCUCAUUGGUCUUGAGCACUUGCUCCCUGGCUGUACUUGGCAAGGGCUUGAGCUGGAAAAGAUGACCAGACUCCCACCGCCCAGAGGGCGUCCCCUGCAGGAGAGCUUCAUGCGCCUGGUGGAGGCCUGUGGGGACUCGGAGCAAAGCAUGGACAACUGGCUGAGUCGGCUGGACGGCUGCCGCUGACUGUAACAUGUAAAGCAGGCACUGAGCACCACCUGCCUGGCAGUCCAGGGCAUGGAGAGAUGCCGUGUGAAGGGAGGACUCAGAUGCACUCCCUGUGGUCUGGGCUCAACCAGCCAAAAGAGCAACAAAGACUCCAGAACCCACUCUACCUCCUCAAUCCCUUGGCCAUCUGUGGAGCCCCAGAGCCUGCGGCUGUGGCAAGGCCUGUUUCUGCGCUGGACCUGCUCACCUGAGCCUGCAGAAGCUGCAUGGGGGAAGAGUGUGGCAAAUAGUGACAGGAAGGGAGAAGACAGAAGCCUCUCAGCCAACUGCUUCAGCCGAGCCCCUAUUCUAAGCACUGGCUCCUUGGAUAGCAGCUGAGAUGUUCCUGAAACCUCUGCAGGCCCCUUAGGACCUUUACACCUUGGAUGAGGGUGCCUGCAACCCAGGUUAGCCAAAAGUACUGAGGGUCUUAAGUUUGAAGUGUCCAAAGUAUAGGGAGGUCUCAAUAAUAAAAGUCUCCAUGAUCAG
rnacentral:lncRNA from 1 species